GAUCAUGGCUCAGGAUGAACGCUGGCGGCGUGCCUAACACAUGCAAGUCGAGCGGGAAACCUUUGAAUGAACCUUCGGGGGAAUGAGAAGGCGGAGAGCGGCGGACGGGUGAGUAACGCGUAGGCAACCUGCCCUUUGCAGAGGGAUAGCCACUGGAAACGGUGAUUAAAACCUCAUAACGCCGAGAGUUCACAUGGACUUUUGGUCAAAGAUUUAUCGGCAAAGGAUGGGCCUGCGUCUGAUUAG
rnacentral:rRNA from 1 species